ACGCCGCGUGAGUGAUGAAGGUUUUCGUCAUCGUAAAGCUCUGUUGUUAGGGAAGAAAAAGUGCCGUUCAAAUAGGGCGGCACCUUGACGGUACCUAACCAGAAAGCCACGGCUAACUACGUGCCAGCAGCCGCGGUAAUACGUAGGUGGCAAGCGUUGUCCGGAAUUAUUGGGUGUAAAGGGCUCGCAGGCGGUUUCUUAAGUCUGAUGUGAAAGCCCCCGGCUCAACCGGGGAGGGUCAUUGGAAACUGGGGAACUUGAGUGCAGAAGAGGAGAGUGGAAUUCCACGUGUAGCGGUGAAAUGCGUAGAGAUGUGGAGGAACACCAGUGGCGAAGGCGACUCUCUGGUCUGUAACUGACGCUGAGGAGCGAAAGCGUGGGGAGCGAACAGGAUUAGAUACCCUGGUAGUCCACGCCGUAAACGAUGAGUGCUAAGUGUUAUGGGGUUUCCGCCCCUUAUUGCCGCACCUAACGCAUUAAGCACUCCGCCUGGGGAGA
rnacentral:rRNA from 1 species